GGGGAAUAUUGGACAAUGGGCGAAAGCCUGAUCCAGCAAUGCCGCGUGUGUGAAGAAGGCCUGCGGGUUGUAAAGCACUUUAAGCGGGGAAGAAAGGCGGGAGGCUAAUACCCUCUUGCACUGACGUUACCUGCAGAAUAAGCACCGGCUAACUCCGUGCCAGCAGCCGCGGUAAUACGGAGGGUGCGAGCGUUAAUCGGAAUUACUGGGCGUAAAGCGCGCGUAGGCGGUUUGUUAAGUCAGCUGUGAAAGCCCUGGGCUCAACCUGGGAAUGGCAGUUGAUACUGGCGAGCUUGAGUGUGGUAGAGGGGUGUGGAAUUUCCGGUGUAGCAGUGAAAUGCGUAGAGAUCGGAAGGAACACCAGUGGCGAAGGCGGCACCCUGGACCAACACUGACGCUGAGGUGCGAAAGCGUGGGGAGCAAAC
rnacentral:rRNA from 1 species